AUUGAACGCUGGCGGAAUGCUUUACACAUGCAAGUCGAACGGUAGAGGGGGCAACCCCUUGAGAGUGGCGAACGGGUGAGUAAUAUAUCGGAACGUGCCCAGUCGUGGGGAUAACGUAGCGAAAGUUACGCUAAUACCGCAUACGAUCUACGGAUGAAAGCGGGGGACUCGCAAGAGCCUCGCGCGAUUGGAGCGGCCGAUAUCAGAUUAGGUAGUUGGUGGGGUAAAGGCUCACCAAGCCAACGAUCUGUAGCUGGUCUGAGAGGACGACCAGCCACACUGGAACUGAGACACGGUCCAGACUCCUACGGGAGGCAGCAGUGGGGAAUUUUGGACAAUGGACGCAAGUCUGAUCCAGCCAUUCCGCGUGCAGGAUGAAGGCCCUCGGGUUGUAAACUGCUUUUGUACGGAACGAAAAGGUUUCUAUUAAUACUAGGAGCUCAUGACGGUACCGUAAGAAUAAGCACCGGCUAACUACGUGCCAGCAGCCGCGGUAAAGUG
rnacentral:rRNA from 1 species